rnacentral:rRNA from 1 species
GACGAACGCUGGCGGCGUGCUUAACACAUGCAAGUCGAACGGAAAGGCCCUGCUUUUGUGGGGUGCUCGAGUGGCGAACGGGUGAGUAACACGUGAGUAACCUGCCCUUGACUUUGGGAUAACUUCAGGAAACUGGGGCUAAUACCGGAUAGGAGCUCCUGCUGCAUGGUGGGGGUUGGAAAGUUUCGGCGGUUGGGGAUGGACUCGCGGCUUAUCAGCUUGUUGGUGGGGUAGUGGCUUACCAAGGCUUUGACGGGUAGCCGGCCUGAGAGGGUGACCGGCCACAUUGGGACUGAGAUACGGCCCAGACGCCUACGGGAGGCAGCAGUGGGGAAUAUUGCACAAUGGGCGGAAGCCUGAGGCAGCAACGCCGCGUGCGGGAUGACGGCCUUCGGGUUGUAAACCGCUUUCGCCUGAGACGAAGCGUGAGUGACGGUAAUGGGUAAAGAAGCACCGGCUAACUACGUG